rnacentral:rRNA from 1 species
UUGUAAUUUGCAGAGGGCGCUUUGGUGUUGGCAGCGGUCCAAGUUCUUUGGAACAGGACGUCACAGAGGGUGAGAAUCCCGUACGUGGUCGCUAGCCCUCACCGUGUAAAGCCCCUUCGACGAGUCGAGUUGUUUGGGAAUGCAGCUCUAAAUGGGAGGUAAAUUUCUUCUAAAGCUAAAUACUGGCCAGAGACCGAUAGCGCACAAGUAGAGUGAUCGAAAGAUGAAAAGCACUUUGGAAAGAGAGUCAAAUAGCACGUGAAAUUGUUGAAAGGGAAGCGCUUGCAGCCAGACUUGCCUGUAGUUGCUUAUCCGGACUUUUGUCCGGUGCACUCUUCUGCGGGCAGGCCAGCAUCAGUUUGGGCGGUUGGAUAAAGGUCUCUGUCAUGUACCUCCUUUCGGGGAGGCCUUAUAGGGGAGACGACAUGCAACCAGCCUGGACUGAGGUCCGCGCAUCUGCUAGGAUGCUGGCGUAAUGGCUGUAAGCGGCCCGUCUUGAAACACGGACCAAGGAGUCUAACAUCUAUGCGAGUGUUUGGGUGUCAAGCCCAGACGCGUAAUGAAAGUGAACGGAGGUGGGAACCCUUUGGGUGCACCAUCGACCGAUCCUGAUGUCUUCGGAUGGAUUUGAGUAAGAGCAUGGCUGUUGGGACCCGAAAGAUGGUGAACUAUGCUUGAAUAGGGUGAAGCCAGAGGAAACUCUGGUG